GAUGAACGCUAGCGGCAGGCCUAAUACAUGCAAGUCGAACGGGAUCCAGAUCAAAGCUUGCUUUGGUCUGGUGAGAGUGGCGCACGGGUGCGUAACGCGUGAGCAACCUACCCUUGUCAGGGGGAUAGCCCGUCGAAGGUCGGAUUAAUACCGCAUUACAUCAUUGAGAGGCAUCUUUCGAUGAUCAAAGAUUUAUCGGACAAGGAUGGGCUCGCGUGACAUUAGCUAGUUGGUAAGGUAACGGCUUACCAAGGCUGCGAUGUCUAGGGGCUCUGAGAGGAGAAUCCCCCACACUGGUACUGAGACGCGGACAAGACUCCGACGGGAGGCAGCAGUAAGGAAUAUUGGUCGAUGGACGGAAGUCUGAACCAGCCAUGCCGCGUGCAGGAGGACGGCCCUAUGGGUUGUAAACUGCUUUUAUACGGGAACAAACGUCGGUACGUGUACAGGUCUGAGGGUACCGUAAGAAUAAGGAUCGGCUAACUCAGUG
rnacentral:rRNA from 1 species